ACCUACGGGGGGCAGCAGUAGGGAAUUUUCGUCAAUGGGCGCAAGCCUGAACGAGCAAUGCCGCGUGAACGAGGAAGGUCUUCGGAUCGUAAAGUUCUGUUGAAGGGGAAAAAGAGCGGAGAGAGGAAAUGCUUUUUGAUUGAUAUUACCCUUCGAGGAAGUCACGGCUAACUACGUGCCAGCAGCCGCGGUAAUACGUAGGUGGCGAGCGUUAUCCGGAAUGAUUGGGCGUAAAGGGUGCGUAGGCGGCCUGCUAAGUCUGGAGUGAAAGGUACCGGCUCAACCGGUACAGGCUCUGGAAACUG
rnacentral:rRNA from 1 species